rnacentral:rRNA from 1 species
GGCGAUCAGAUACCGCCCUAGUUCUGACCGUAAACGAUGCCAACUAGCGAUCCGCCAGUCGACUCAUCGCUCUGGUGGGGAGCUUCCCGGAAACGAAAGUCUUCCGGUUCCGGGGGAAGUAUGGUUGCAAAGCUGAAACUUAAAGGAAUUGACGGAAGGGCACCACCAGGAGUGGAGCCUGCGGCUUAAUUUGACUCAACACGGGGAAACUCACCCGGCCCGGACACCGUAAGGAUUGACAGAUUGAUAGCUUUUUCAUGAUUCGGUGGAGGGUGGUGCAUGGCCGUUCUUAGUUCGUGGAGCGAUUUGUCUGGUUUAUUCCGAUAACGAGCGAGACUCUGGCCUACUAAAUAGUUGACGCAUUGCCACUGUGCGCACAACUUCUUAGAGGGAUUUUCGGUGUUUUCAACCGCACGAAAUUGAGCAAUAACAGGUCUGUGAUGCCCUUAGAUGUCCGGGGCUGCACGCGCGCUACACUGGCAAACGCAACGUGCCUGUCCUGCCCCGAAAGGAGCGGGUAAACCCCUGAAAUUUUGCCGUGAUUGGGAUCGGACAUUGCAACUAUUGUCCGUGAACGAGGAAUUCCUUGUAGGGGGAGUCAUCAACUCGCCCCGAAUACGUCCCUGCCCUUGUA